rnacentral:rRNA from 1 species
UACGGGGGGGGCAAGCGUUGUUCGGAAUUACUGGGCGUAAAGGGCGCGUAGGCGGCCUUCUAAGUCGGACGUGAAAUCCCUCGGCUUAACCGAGGAACUGCGUCCGAUACUGAAAGGCUUGAAUCCGGGAGAGGGAUGUGGAAUUCCAGGUGUAGCGGUGAAAUGCGUAGAUAUCGUCUGGAACGCCGAAGGUGAAAACAGCUCGCUGGGGCUGCGCUGACGCUGAGACACGAAAGCCAGGGGAGCGAACGGG